CAUGUAAUACCAACGGCAAGAGUCAUCAUGUCAUUCUUAACCACAAAACAUGUUAUUAAUUCUCUCUCCCACCCAACCCAAAAUCUCUCUAUCCCAGCUACAUAUGUCUACCGGCACAGUCACUCUCGGGUAACUGUCUCUCCCUGCCACAUAUCUCUGUCUCUCUCUGUCUCUCUUUCUCCUAAAUAUUUCUCACAUAAUUAUAUCUAUUUCAGCCCUAUCUCUCUCUCAACCUCCAAGUAUGGACAGUAGGCAGACCUCCAUCUGUUGGAGAACUGCCUACAAUAUUAAUUCUAGGCUGGCCAAGCCUCAUGGGAGUUGUAUUUCUGCAACAGUAUAGCAGUAGCAUAAAUGCUAUCUCAGAUGUGAGAAUUCAUUUGUAGGAUGUAAAAUAGAGCGGUGCAACAUGUCUCCCAGCCCCAAUUUCAGUGGGACAGUCCUGAUUUGGAACUCCUGUGCUGUCAUCCCAAUUUUGUCUCCUGAUGUCCUACAUGCACAUACACUAUGGAAGCAUUCACAGCUAUCACAUUGUGAGCACAUUAUAAGACACACACAGUACUGGUGCACUAACACCAUGCAUCGAAUGCUUCAACAAGGCAAAAAAAUGAAUUUGCA